CCUUCGAUAGCUCAGUUGGUAGAGCGAUGGACUGUAGUUUUAAUUGCUUAUUCGAAUCAGAUAUCCACAGGUCGCUGGUUCGACUCCGGCUCGAAGGA
rnacentral:tRNA from 1 species